CAGGAAGUGACAUAGCAAGGAGACUCAUAUUUGAGCGAGGAGAAAUGGGAAGUUCGCUCUUUUUCCCCUCGGCUCCUGCUCCAGCGCCAUGAUGUGAUCCACUGACAAGGAGGGACGCCAAUAAGAAAAUGAAAAGCUGUGGAUUCCUUCCAGACUAUUAUGGUUUGAUCAAACAAGACCCCCUGAAGCUGAGACGAUACAGCCUUACUGACUACAAAAACAAGGACUUGGUCAGGUUUCUAUGUUUUAUCAUGAUCCCCAUGGUAUAUGAACAUCGCCCCCAAUCAGCAGGAAGCAGUUUAGAAAGAACGACGCCCAUAUUCCCAAAUAUUGUUUAUAAAAGUUUGUUUUCAUUUAAAUGGGGUUAGAUAUAAAUGAUAAGGAGCAUAGUCAAUUUUUUUAAAGAAAAAAGGGGAAUAGGAUAUAGGAAUUAAUACUUUGCAUUGGUAUAGAUUUUCAUUUAUUGAUACAACUUUAAGGUCAAUUUUGUGAUAUGUAUACGUCUCCUCUUGUUUAGGUAUUCUGUUUAUACAGAUCUUUUACCUAUAAUAGUCAGAACUUAUAAUUAGGUUAGUUAGGUUUUCUAGAUUUACAGAGAUGUAUUUGAAACGGAUAGAUGUAUUCAAACCUUUCAAAGACCUACAGAAAAAGGCAUUUAAAUGGUUUAGGGCUUUUCUUGGCAGUGAGACACAACUGCUCCUGGCACACCAAUUACGUCAGAAAGGAGGAUGGGCUUCGAAGAAACUUGUUAUGGAAUUUGCUUUCAACAUGACAAGAUUAGCCAUUUGGACAAGAAACUGCUCUUGACUGGACUGUUUGUUGCUGUAUAAACUAGACAUACAGGACCCACAAGAAAAUGACUGCUGAACUUACAAAACAAGACAGUACUGAAGGGUUCCUGUUGAAAUGGAGAAGUGUGCCAGACACACUGUGGCCUAUGGCUGAAGAUGGAUGCCCCAUUAGAGAGGAACUUUGGGUGACUGUCCAGGCAGUGAGAUGUCUCUGUCAAUUCUAGAGUUUAUAUAUUAUCCUUCUGUGGUCUUUGAUAGAAUUGAAGACAGGUAGUUAUGGUUAUAGUUUUCUUCAGUUAUUAUAAAAGAUAAGUUAUCCUUUUAUUUAGACAGAAAAGAGGAGAUGAUGGGGAAUGUACUGUGUAUGUUUAUCUUAUUGAUUGUUGAAUAAAAUACUGUUUGGCCAAUGAGACAGCAAGUUAGACGGAACUAGGAGUCAAAGAGGAUUCUGGGAGAUGUAGUAGAGAAGUGGUGGUCUAGGCAGGAAGUGACAUAUUUGAGCGAGGAGAAACGGGAAGUUUUCUCUUUUUUCCCCUCGGCUCCUGCUCCAGUGGCACCAUGUGAUCCACCGACAAGGAGGGAAGCCAAUAAGGCUUUGAUGAAAAGGAUUGUCUCUCUGUGCUUUUAAAAUGUCCUACGAAGUUUCAACAGAGAAAAGCGAUGGUUGUUUUAAAAGAGAAGCAGGCUCCAUUGUAUAGACAAUACAACUCCAGAACACUGGAGUUACGUUUGUGAGCUGUCAUGUGAGUGCUGGAAACCAAACCCAGGUCCUCUGCAAGAGCAACAAGUGUUCGUAACCACUGAGCCAGCUCUCCAGCCCUCUCUCCAGGAAAAGGAAAAUAAUAUGGCUGAAUCAUCCUCUUCAUUUCUCACCCCUCCCCAGUCAUGUGGAGCCAGAAGUAAAUGUAUUCCCCUUCCCUCUGCGAGUCCUCAAAUCGGUGAGGGAAGGGUCACGUGCACACGAGGAGGAAUCACCUGACCUUUGGAGAAUGCCCUGCUACCCCCCAGAAUGCACAAUAGCUAAAGACAAUCAAAGCUUCUUUCACUGGGAAACAAUACAACACAGCCACAAAUGAGGCGAUUCUGAAUGAGACCUUGGG
ensembl:lncRNA